AUGUGGAAAACUUGUUGUGCACCAUCGCCCGACCGCCACCUAGUACCACAUGUGAUGGGUACCCCAUAAUCCUACAAGCUUGAGAUGAGGAAGUGUAGAAGGGUGAAACUUCCUGCUUUUAUUGUUGACCACAGAGUGGUACCUGGAGAUAUGUCGCGGGGGUCAGGAGACCUUGGGGACGUCAGGUGGGGUGUUAUUGCCCAAAACCAAGCUUGACCAAUCCCGACCCAACCCGGGCAUAGUCGGUCAGUGAGAACCUGUGAUGUACCUAAGCAGGCGAGCUCCUGGCAGUCAACAGAUAAAAGGAACAAAGACCACAAAGCAAGAAGGCUUGUGGUGGCUGGCCAGCUGUGAAUUUUGUGUGAUAUGUGGAUUAUGGCCUCUGGUAAUCGAUUACCAAGGGUGGGUAAUCGAUUACAAGGCUUAAAAAUGAAGAUAGGAGACUAAGAUGGUCUUUGGUAAUCGAUUACCAAGGGGUGUAAUCGAUUACCAGGCUUGAAAACGAAGUCAGGAAACUAAGGGAGCCUCUGGUAAUCGAUUACCAGCCUGUGUAAUCGAUUACACAGAGGGAUGGGUCACUGGUAAUCGAUUACCAGGUAUGUGUAAUCGAUUACACAGUGCAUUUUUGCAUAUUUCAUGUCCUGAGGCUGUGUAAUUCAAGUUUAGCCUCUGGUAAUCGAUUACCAAGGCUGUGUAAUCGAUUACCAGAAAUGAAAAG
rnacentral:lncRNA from 1 species